GUAAACUCUCAUGCCAUUAGGGGAGGCAAAGUCUGUACAACUGAGAGUACAAAUGUGCUCUCAAGAGCUUGGGUUGGACAUUGGUGGUACUUGGAUGGGAGACCCCCUGGGAAUAAAAGGUGCUGGAGUUGUGA
rnacentral:rRNA from 1 species